rnacentral:rRNA from 1 species
CAUGGCAGACAGACGGCGGGUGCUAAGGUCCGUCGUCGAAAGGGAAACAGCCCAGACCACCAGCUAAGGUCCCCAAAUCACGACUAAGUGGGAAAGGAUGUGGGAAGGCCAAGACAACCAGGAGGUUGGCUUAGAAGCAGCCAUCAUUUAAAGAAAGCGUAACAGCUCACUGGUCUAAACAAGCCGUCCUGCGCCGAAGAUGUAUCGGGGCUAAAGUCGUGUACCGAAGCUGUGGACUUGUCUUUGACAAGUGGUAGCGGAGCGUUCCGUAAGCCUGUGAAGGUGAACCGUGAGGUUUGCUGGAGGUAUCGGAAGUGAGAAUGCUGACAUGAGUAGCGAUAAAGAGGGUGAGAAACCCUCUCGCCGAAAGUCCAAGGGUUCCUGCGCAACGCUAAUCGGCGCAGGGUGAGUCGGCCCCUAAGGCGAGG